rnacentral:rRNA from 1 species
UACGGGGGGGGGCAAGCGUUGUUCGGAAUUACUGGGCGUAAAGGGCCAGUAGGCGGCCAACUAAGUCCGACGUGAAAUCCCAAGGCUUAACCUUGGAACUGCGUCGGAUACUGGAUGGCUUGAAUUCGGGAGAGGGAUGCAGAAUUCCAGGUGUAGCGGUGAAAUGCGUAGAUAUCUGGAGGAAUACCGGUGGCGAAGGCGGCAGUCCUGGUCCAGCACCGACGUUCAGGCACGAAAGCGUGGGGAGCAAACAGG